rnacentral:rRNA from 1 species
AUUGAACGCUGGCGGCAGGCCUAACACAUGCAAGUCGAACGAGUGGCAGACGGGUGAGUAAUGUCUGGGAAACUGCCUGAUGGAGGGGGAUAACUACUGGAAACGGUAGCUAAUACCGCAUACCAUCGAAUGUGCCCAGAUUGGAUUAGCUAGUAGGUGGUGUAACGGCUCACCUAGGCGACGAUACCUAGCUGGGCUGAGAGGAUGACCAGCCACACUGGAACUGAGACACGGUCCAGACUCCUACGGGAGGCAGCAGUGGGGAAUAUUGGACAAUGGGCGCAAGCCUGAUGCAGCCAGGCAGCGUGUAUGAAGAGGGCCUUCGGGUUGUAAAGUACUUUCAGCGGGGAGGCGUUACCCGCAGAAGAAGCACCGGCUAACUCCGUGCCAGCCGCCGCGGUAAUUC